AAUGAACGUUGGCGGCGUGGAUUAGGCAUGCAAGUCGAGCGAGAAGGUUUAGAAAGAUACUUCGGUUGAUUUCUAAACUGGACAGCGGCGAAAGGGAGAGUAACAGGUAGAUACGUACCCAGAGGAUCGGGAUAGCUGCGGGAAACUGCAGGUAAUACCGAAUAAUGUCUCCGGACCAAAAAUUUAUUGCCUUUGGAUCGGUCUGCUUACUAUUAGCUUGUUGGUGGGGUAAAGGCCUACCAAGGCAAAGAUGGUUAGCGGGUGUGAGAGCAUGGCCCGUCUCACUGGGACUGAGACACUGCCCAGACACCUACGGGUGGCUGCAGUCGAGAAUCUUCCGCAAUGGACGAAAGUCUGACGGAGCGACGCCGCGUGCGGGAUGAAGGCCUUCGGGUUGUAAACCGCUGUCAGAGGGAGCAAAUUUUGAGCGAUCCUCAGAGGAAGCACAGGCUAAG
rnacentral:rRNA from 1 species